GUCACCGGGUUUCCUUCUGUCAAGGCCAGAGCAGCCUCGACCUCCUCUGCUGGGGGUUCUGGGUCUUCCCACGUGCCGGGCACCCGCAGUGUGCCCACAAGGGCGAUUUCCCCACUUCCGGGGUCCUGGCGGAGGCCAUGGCCCAAGCACUUGGUACCGGGGGCUCGACUAACGGUGCCGGAAGCAAGGCCUCGACGGCCCCGAACAUCACGUCUCCUAGCCGCGUGGUGGAGAAGCCCGAAGAUGCAGCCCCGACCUAGGGAUGAAGGCG
rnacentral:lncRNA from 1 species